GAGUUUGAUCCUGGCUCAGGAUGAACGCUGGCGGCGUGCUUAACACAUGCAAGUCGAACGAACCUUCGGGUUAGUGGCGGACGGGUGAGUAACGCGUGAGAAUCUGCCCUCAGGAGGGGGAUAACAGCUGGAAACGGCUGCUAAUACCCCAUAUGCCGCGAGGUGAAAUGAAUUUCGCCUGAGGAUGAGCUCGCGUCUGAUUAGCUAGUUGGUGUAGGUAAUGGCUCACCAAGGCAUCGAUCAGUAGCUGGUCUGAGAGGAUGAUCAGCCACACUGGGACUGAGACACGGCCCAGACUCCUACGGGAGGCAGCAGUGGGGAAUUUUCCGCAAUGGGCGAAAGCCUGACGGAGCAACGCCGCGUGAGGGAUGAAGGCCUCUGGGCUGUAAACCUCUUUUAUCAAGGAAGAAGAUCUGACGGUACUUGAUGAAUAAGCCACGGCUAAUUCCGUGCCAGCAGCCGCGGUAAUACGGGAGUGGCAAGCGUUAUCCGGAAUUAUUGGGCGUAAAGCGUCCGCAGGCGGCCCUUCAAGUCUGCUGCUAAAAAGUGGAGCUCAACUCCAUCAUGGCAGUGGAAACUGAGGGGCUUGAGUGUGGUAGGGGCAGAGGGAAUUCCCGGUGUAGCGGUGAAAUGCGUAGAUAUCGGGAAGAACACCAGUGGCGAAGGCGCUCUGCUGGGCCAUCACUGACGCUCAUGGACGAAAGCCAGGGGAGCGAAAGGGAUUAGAUACCCCUGUAGUCCUGGCCGUAAACGAUGAACACUAGGUGUCGGGGGAAUCGACCCCCUCGGUGUCGUAGCCAACGCGUUAAGUGUUCCGCCUGGGGAGUACGCACGCAAGUGUGAAACUCAAAGGAAUUGACGGGGGCCCGCACAAGCGGUGGAGUAUGUGGUUUAAUUCGAUGCAACGCGAAGAACCUUACCAGGGUUUGACAUCCUGCGAAUCUCUUGGAAACGAGAGAGUGCCUUCGGGAGCGCAGUGACAGGUGGUGCAUGGCUGUCGUCAGCUCGUGUCGUGAGAUGUUGGGUUAAGUCCCGCAACGAGCGCAACCCACGUCUUUAGUUGCCAGCAUUUAGUUGGGCACUCUAGAGAGACCGCCGGUGAUAAACCGGAGGAAGGUGUGGAUGACGUCAAGUCAUCAUGCCCCUUACAUCCUGGGCUACACACGUACUACAAUGCUACGGACAAAGGGCAGCAAGUUCGCGAGGACAAGCAAAUCCCAUAAACCGUGGCUCGGUUCAGAUCGUAGGCUGCAACUCGCCUACGUGAAGGAGGAAUCGCUAGUAAUCGCAGGUCAGCAUACUGCGGUGAAUACGUUCCCGGGCCUUGUACACACCGCCCGUCACACCAUGGAAGUUGGCCACGCCCGAAGCCGUUACUCCAACCCUUGUGGAGGAGGACGUCGAAGGUGGGGCUGAUGACUGGGGUGAAGUCGUAACAAGGUAACC
rnacentral:rRNA from 1 species